rnacentral:rRNA from 1 species
UACGUAGGGUGCAAGCGUUAAUCGGAAUUACUGGGCGUAAAGCGUGCGCAGGCGGUUUUGUAAGUCAGAUGUGAAAGCCCCGGGCUCAACCUGGGAACUGCAUUUGAAACUAGAAGACUAGAGUGUGGCAGAGGGGGGUGGAAUUCCGGGUGUAGCGGUGAAAUGCGUAGAGAUGAGGAGGAACACCGAUGGCGAAGGCGGCCCCCUGGGAUAACACUGACGCUCAUGCACGAAAGCGUGGGGAGCAAACAGG